UGUUGUGCUUACUUGGACUGUGAUGAAGCUGUGAGGACUCAGGUGGUUUGUCUUCAUGGUCUUCAGUCUUCACAGAGACAACAGUCAGUGGAAACUUGGUGAGAUCAGCCUCCUCCUGCCCUAGAAGACACUCUCCCUCCUGGCUGAUCCAGAGAUCUCCCUCUUUAAUGUGGGAUGGCUCUGGCUCCUCCUCUUCUCCUUCUUCAAUGUGAGGGGCGGAUCGCAAUCAACGUUAUAGGUGCAUUACGCCACCUACUGUACUGGAGUGUGGAUUCUCAGGACAAGCACCGAUGAUGGACCCACUGGAGCAGAUAGCGGCGCCGUGGGACGGCCCGCUGGAGACGAAGAUGGCGGCGCCGUGGGACGACCCACUGGAGACGAAGAUGGCAUGUCAAUAGCUGAAACAGCAGGCGGCUGGGCUGUUGGCGUAUCCAGAGCUGAGGCGGCUGGGCUGUCGGCGUGUCCAGAGCUGGAACAGCAGGCGGCUGAGCUGUUGCCGUGUCCAGAGCUGGAGCAGCAGGCGGCUGGGCUGUCUGCGUGUCCAGAGCUGGCAUCCGCAGGCCCACUGGGGUUGCUGG